rnacentral:rRNA from 1 species
UUGGAGGGCAAGUCUGGUGCCAGCAGCCGCGGUAAUUCCAGCUCCAAUAGCGUAUAUUAAAGUUGUUGCAGUUAAAAAAGCUCGUAGUUGAACUUCAGACCUGGCUGGGCGGUCCGCUUAACGGCGUGUACUGUCUGGCUGGGUCUUACCUCUUGGUGAGCCGGCGUGCCCUUUAUUGGUGUGCGUCGGGGAACCAGGACUUUUACCUUGAGAAAAUUAGAGUGUUCAAAGCAGGCCUAUGCCUGAAUACAUUAGCAUGGAAUAAUAAAAUAGG